UACGGGGGGGGGGCAAGGCGUUGUUCGGAAUUACUGGGCGUAAAGGGCGCGUAGGCGGCCUGCUAAGUCGAACGUGAAAUCCCUGGGCUCAACCCAGGAACUGCGUCCGAUACUGGUUGGCUUGAAUCCGGGAGAGGGAUGUGGAAUUCCAGGUGUAGCGGUGAAAUUCGUAGAUAUGGGGAGGAACACCGGUGGCGAAGGCGGCCACCUGGACGGUAACUGACGGCUGAGACGCGAAAGCGUGGGGAGCGAACAGG
rnacentral:rRNA from 1 species